rnacentral:rRNA from 1 species
GUGUCAGCCGCCGCGGUAAUACCAGCACCCCGAGUGGUCGGGACGAUUAUUGGGCCUAAAGCAUCCGUAGCCGGUCUUGCAAGUCUUCCGUUAAAUCCACCUGCUUAACAGAUGGGCUGCGGAAGAUACUACAAGACUAGGAGGCGGGAGAGGCAAGCGGUACUCAGUGGGUAGGGGUAAAAUCCUCUGAUCCAUUGAAGACCACCAGUGGCGAAGGCGGCUUGCCAGAACGCGCUCGACGGUGAGGGAUGAAAGCUGGGGGAGCAAACCGGAUUAGAUACCCGGGUAGUCCCAGCUGUAAACGAUGCAGACUCGGUGAUGGGCCGGCUUCAUGCCGGCUCAGUGCCGCAGGGAAGCCGUUAAGUCUGCCGCCUGGGGAGUACGGUCGCAAGACUGAA